UGGCGGGGAUAGCACCGUUUAUUAAGAAAAAUCAAGACAAAGACCCUUCUAGGACCUGAGGUCAGGUGUCCCAAAGCCACAAUAUGGGGACUGCUGACCACCAGGUCGGUCGUUGGGUUCCCAGGGGUGGGGCUGUCAUCUUCCUCCCACUCCCCCCAGUCAGGGGUCUUGGCCUCCCCACUCUAAGGCACUGGCUCUUCCUGACCACCAGUUCCCCCAAGUCCCUGGGCCUUCACCUCCAGAAGAGUGGGGGAUGUGGUCUGGUGUGGUGAGACCUCAGUGCUGGGUGUUCCAGGGAGGAGCUGGGGGGGUUUCCCUUGCAGCCCUGAGGGGGGACCCUGGACUGUGUGUGGGUGGUGGGAGGAGGCUGUGCCGCUGGGCAGAGGUGGGGGAUUGGGAUGGAGCUGGUGGGGGGAAGAGCAAGCUGCCUUCUGCUCCACAGGGGGCGCUAUGGAGUUUUCCAGCCCAGGGUUGGGGGGGUAAGGGCAGGUGAUACCUCCUGUUCACUUAGCUGGUGGGCACCAGGUGGUGAGCUGAGAUGGUCCUCAGGAAGGAGGGCUGCCCAAGGGCUCCCAAAGUGGGUGGCCCAGUUCUUUGGGGGUUCCGUCAGGGCAUGAGGGGUUGGGAUAGAUCUGGGUCUACCCAGCCACCAUGCCUAACCUCAGUUCUUGGUGGCUUUCUGAGGCAACAGACCCUCCCACCUGCCCUGCCCACAGGCCUUGGUGCUUUUCCCAUGUGUGUGGGAAGCUGGUGUGCCCACCCUCCAGUCCAGCCCAGGGCAGUAGCAGCAAAGCAUGGCAUCGCUUCAGUUUCUUACAAAAAACUCAUAAUAAUAAUAUUAAUAAUAAUAUACUCGACAUUGUCAGGCUGGGCGUGGCCUGGGAGUCCAUGGGAAGCUGGCAAGUGCCUAUGAGGGGCAGGGGCGUGUGUUGGCUCCAGCCUGGGCACGGUGCUGCAGGUCUAGGGGUUGGGGCGGUGGUGCGCCAGGCCCAGCCGAGUGCAGCACUAGGUUCUUGAUACAGCCUGUGAUGCCUGAGGAGAACCUGCCUCUGGUCAGUGUGGCCACAUCUGGGGCGCCACCUGUGGGCAGGGGAGUGAGAGCGCUGGAGGGUUCCAGAAGCCCAGGAGGCCAGCAUUGCAGGACCACCGUGCCCUCCUUGCCCUUGGUGGGCUCCUCCCACCCCAGGCCAGCCCAAGACUUACCAAUGUACACCCUGCCUUUGGUGUUGACUGCCACAUUGGGGCCCGGGGACUGUCCGCUCACCAGCUCCUCGCCGUCAACCUGGAUGGAGCCUCUCCGGCCCUCUCUGCAGUGUGGCUGGGUCAGGCCCCCUGCCUGGCCUGGAUUCCCAUCCUUCCAGCCCACCCAUAAAACCCAUCCCCUUGGCAUGGAGACUCUGGACAGAUGAGCCAGGCCCAGCCCCUUGCACACCCCCCAAUCAUGGGCCUCACCCUGCAAACCCAGCUCUGGUUUGACCAGGGAGCUCCCCAACUCCAGUUUCCUGUUCUCUCACAGAGCUCAGUGGCCACUUCCCUGCCUGUGAUGGGGGCAUCCUAUCCCUCUGCAGGACUCUAGUCCUUUUUCCUAACGCCUGGCUGGGCUUGCUUACCGCAGCACUGCCACCCGGUGCCACUCGGCCGUCAUUGAUAGGGUCCUCAGAGACAAGGUGGGCCUCCCCACUGCCCAACUGGUAGCUGGAGUAACAGAGGCCCAUGAGUGCGAGCUGGUGCAGGACUGGUGGUAUGGAGCGGCGAGGGGGCGAGGUGAUAUGUGACUGGGGGACUGGCAGGGGCAGCUUCCCAUGGGAGGAGCCAGGGAGGGGGGAGGAGG
rnacentral:lncRNA from 1 species